AACGAACGCUGGCGGCAUGCCUAACACAUGCAAGUCGAACGAGACCUUCGGGUCUAGUGGCGCACGGGUGCGUAACGCGUGGGAACCUGCCCUUAGGUUCGGAAUAACUCCCCGAAAGGGGUGCUAAUACCGGAUAAUGUCUUCGGACCAAAGAUUUAUCGCCUUUGGAUGGGCCCGCGUUGGAUUAGCUAGUUGGUAGGGUAAAAGCCUACCAAGGCGACGAUCCAUAGCUGGUCUGAGAGGAUGAUCAGCCACACUGGGACUGAGACACGGCCCAGACUCCUCCGGGAGGCAGCAGUGGGGAAAAUUGGACAAUGGGCGAAAGCCUGAUCCAGCAAUGCCGCGGGAGUGAUGAAGGCCUUGGGGUGGUAAAGCUCUUUUACCCGGGAUGAUAAUGCCAGUACCGGGAGAAUAAGCCCCGGCUACCUCCGU
rnacentral:rRNA from 1 species